UACAGAGGUCUCAAGCGUUGUUCGGAUUCAUUGGGCGUAAAGGGUGUGUAGGUGGCGCCGUAAGUCAGGUGUGAAAUUUCGGAGCUUAACUCCGAAACUGCAUUUGAUACUGCGGUGCUUGAGGACUGGAGAGGAGACUGGAAUUUACGGUGUAGCAGUGAAAUGCGUAGAUAUUGGGAGGAACACCGAUGGCGUAGGCAGGGUACUGGGCUGUUGCUGACACUAAGGCACGAAAGCGUGGGGAGCGAACGGG
rnacentral:rRNA from 1 species